CAGUCGCGCGGGAACACGGAGGGUGCAAGCGUUAAUCGGAAUUACUGGGCGUAAAGCGCACGCAGGCGGUCUGACAAGUCAGAUGUGAAAUCCCCGGGCUUAACCUGGGAACUGCAUUUGAAACUGUCAGGCUGGAGUCUUGUAGAGGGGGGUGGAAUUCCAGGUGUAGCGGUGAAAUGCGUAGAGAUCUGGAGGAAUACCGGUGGCGAAGGCGGCCCCCUGGACAAAGACUGACGCUCAGGUGCGAAAGCGUGGGGAGCAAACAGGAUUAGAUACCCCGGUAGUCCCUGUCUCUUAUACA
rnacentral:rRNA from 1 species